rnacentral:rRNA from 1 species
UACGUAGGGUGCUAGCGUUGUCCGGAUUUAUUGGGCGUAAAGAGCUCGUAGGCGGUUUGGCGCGUCCGCCGUGAAAUCUCCACGCUUAACGUGGAGCGUGCGGUCGAUACGGGCAGACUUGAGUUCGGUAGGGGAGACUGGAAUUCCUGGUGUAGCGGUGAAAUGCGCAGAUAUCAGGAGGAACACCGGUGGCGAAGGCGGGUCUCUGGGCCGAUACUGACGCUGAGGAGCGAAAGCGUGGGGAGCGAACAGG